rnacentral:misc_RNA from 1 species
UGAUUGUCAUCACCAUCAGCUACUACUCCUUCCUCAGUAUUCUCACCUCUGCUAGCUGAUAGAACUGAACCCUUUGUUCGUAGCUCCCUCGGUCGAAGACUUCCUUUAGCAUCAACAACAGCUCUACUGUCCAAUGACAGCCUUGGAGCUUCUUUGCAGAACUUCCACGAAGACCUCGUCCCUUCUUUUACUUCGAAUAUAGGAAGAGGGAGCGGUGACUUUGGCGGUGUCUCUACCGAGACAGAAACAACUGGCUCAACAGAUAUGACACCUACUGCAGCCUGCUUAGACUGAUCCAGA